AGCAGCAGCCGCGGUAAAACAGAGGGUGCGAGCGUUAAUCGGAUUUACUGGGCGUAAAGCGUGCGUAGGCGGCUUCUUAAGUCGGAUGUGAAAUCCCUGAGCUUAACUUAGGAAUUGCAUUCGAUACUGGGAAGCUAGAGUAUGGGAGAGGAUGGUAGAAUUCCAGGUGUAGCGGUGAAAUGCGUAGAGAUCUGGAGGAAUACCGAUGGCGAAGGCAGCCAUCUGGCCUAAUACUGACGCUGAGGUACGAAAGCAUGGGGAGCAAACAGGAUUAGAUACCCCUGUAGUCCCUGUCUCUUAUAC
rnacentral:rRNA from 1 species